AGCGUAGACGGUGUGGCAAGUCUGAUGUGAAAGGCAUGGGCUCAACCUGUGGACUGCAUUGGAAACUGUCAUACUUGAGUGCCGGAGGGGUAAGCGGAAUUCCUAGUGUAGCGGUGGAAUGCGUAGAUAUUAGGAGGAACACCAGUGGCGAAGGCGGCUUACUGGACGGUAACUGACGUUGAGGCUCGAAAGCGUGGGAGCAAACA
rnacentral:rRNA from 1 species